rnacentral:snoRNA from 1 species
UGAAAUGAUGAGCGUUUUCUUGCUUCGGCAAGUUGGAAUUACCGACCGAAUUUCAUUGAGGAAAACUACGCUGGCUGUAUCUGAUU